rnacentral:lncRNA from 1 species
CGCACAAAACGGCACGGAGCGCCGGAAAUGCGCCAGCAUUCAGCUUCUGCCUCAGAGUCAAGUAACAACUGCUCAGACAGCUCGGGAGAGCUGACCAAGCCCGGCUCGGACUCGGAAACCGAGAUAGCAGAAUUAAUACGGUUUUGAGCGAAACCGAAUAAAGCUUUAAACAAUAUCGGGAAACGGUCGCAACACAAACUCACCAACUGGGGAAAAACAAAGACAGCUUGUAGGGACCGAGAAUGGGCAGCCUCCAUGCACGCUUUCCCGGUGGGGGUUGCCGGAGUGCAGGGAAACCAACAAAGGACAUAUACCCCAGUUAACCCAAAAGAAAUCAAAGCGAUUUCAGAAAGAGGGGUCAAUUCAGCUGUGGUGCCCACUCUCAUGGACGACCUUUCUAACAAUAAUGAUCUGCUCACUUUUGAUAUUACGCAAAUAAGACGCAUGCUUUUUGAUGAGGCGGAGCGGAUCGUAUUUGAGCAGGGGUGGCGGGACGACCGCGUCCGCCCGGGCUUCUGGGGAAGGGCAGCAACUCAGCGAGCUGUCCCCAGCCGGCACAGCUUUCCCUGGCAGCAUCCUCACUCCGAGCACGCCCGAGAGGGAUCUGUAGAAGCUGCGGGAAGACACCCUGAUGCAGCGGCGCAGCCACGGCGACCCCCAGGGGGGCAGGAGACCCUCGUGCCCUGUGCCCUCACAGGGAGCAGUCAAUUUUGCAUCCCUGCCUACGGUGCGGUGGCAGAGCGGGGCAGCACCGCCGGCAACACCCUCGUACCCCCCACCGCCACAGGCCGCGCUGUUGCCACAGGACCAGCGGGAGACGCCCCAGAGCAGGACCGCUGGGUAGCCUUGGCCAUGAGAAUAGGGAAAGAACCCCUAAAGGUGUGGGGGACAUGCCGCCUUUAUGGCAGUCAGGAUCCACACACUACAGGGUUUCACUUCUGGGUGGACACGGGACCAGACUGCAAGAUUUUUCCCUGCACCCUGGUCGCAGCACCAUCGGCAAGCGAAGUAGGCCACCUGGUAUCCACAAUCACAGAAACCCUUCAAGCCAACGGCUUCGAGAUCGCAAGCGCAAAGAUCAAGAGAAGACCCUGCGUGACCUUCCUGGGAGUGGGGAUCACAAGCUCCUACGUGACACCCCCCGAAGCGAAAGUCAGUUGAGACGUCAAAACGCUCCACGACGUGCAACGCCUGGUGGGAUCGCUGCAGUGGUUUCGCAACAUCGUCCUGAUCCCUCCAAAGGUCAUAGACCCCUUGUAUGACCUCCUGAAAGGAAAG